UAGUUCAUAUGAUAAAAAUAAAAUAAGCAUGCAUCUGAUUUCAAUAUGAAAAUAAAUUCAGUGAUUGAACCACCUACCUGUAGCACUACUUUUCUUCUUUGAGAUCUAGAUCUGAAGAUGUCUACAAGUUCUGAUGAAGCCGUACACGCAUCUGACCUCUACAGGUAUUCACACAGGGCUGAUGUAGAUUAGAAGUGUCCG
rnacentral:lncRNA from 1 species